UACGUAGGGACCAAGCGUUGUUCGGAUUUACUGGGCGUAAAGGGCGCGUAGGCGGCAAUUCAAGUCAGCUGUGAAAUCUCCGGGCUUAACUCGGAACGGUCAGCUGAUACUGCUUUGCUAGAGUGCAGAAGGGGCAAUCGGAAUUCCUGGUGUAGCGGUGAAAUGCGUAGAUAUCAGGAGGAAUACCGGUGGCGAAAGCGACUCUCUGGACGGCAACUGACGCUGAGGCACGAAAGCGUGGGGAGCAAACAGG
rnacentral:rRNA from 1 species